rnacentral:rRNA from 1 species
GAUGAACGCUGGCGGCGUGCCUAAUACAUGCAAGUCGAGCGAAUGGAUUAAGAGCUUGCUCUUAUGAAGUUAGCGGCGGACGGGUGAGUAACACGUGGGUAACCUGCCCAUAAGACUGGGAUAACUCCGGGAAACCGGGGCUAAUACCGGAUAACAUUUUGAACCGCAUGGUUCGAAAUUGAGAGGCGGCUUCGGCUGUCACUUAUGGAUGGACCCGCGUCGCAUUAGCUAGUUGGUGAGGUAACGGCUCACCAAGGCAACGAUGCGUAGCCGACCUGAGAGGGUGAUCGGCCACACUGGGACAGAGACGCGGCCCAGACUCCUACGGGAGGCAGCAGUAGGGAAUCUUCAGCAAUGGACGAGAGUCUGACGGAGCAACGCCGCGUGAGUGAUGAAGGCUUUCGGGUCGUAAAACUCUGUUGUUAGGGAAGAACAAGUGCUAGUUGAAUAAGCUGGCACCUUGACGGUACCUAACCAGAAAGCCACGGCUAACUACGUGCCAGCCGCCGCCGUAA